UUGUUUUCUUUUGAUUUGAUUGUUGUGGACCUAUGCAAAGAAAUGGACUUAGUUUCUAGGACUUUCCCUAUGCAAAAUAUGGAGAAUUAGACUUAGAUUUUAGGACUUUUCCUUAUGCAAAAUUGGAGUAAAUGGACCUUAAUGAUGAAGAUGGACUAGAAGGACCAAAUCUCUAAACUCACUUUUGUCCAUUCUUGUUUUACUCCAUGGAACUUUU
rnacentral:lncRNA from 1 species